UGGGUCGUCGUCGGGAUGUUGCAAUUUUGUAGUUGCAGAGUCAAGAUCGAGAUGGAGAGAGAGAAGAGGCAGAAGUCGGGAGAGUUCGAGAGAGAAGAGACAGAAGCCGGAUGUUGUAAUUUUUCUUAGGCCUAAUGGGACUACAGCAUGAAGGUGGCUCCAUGAGGUCUGCUUUGGUGACUCUCUUUAUCGUUGCCAUCGUACUCUCUCCGAUUUCAACCUCAGAGGCAGCUCGAUUCGUUUUUCGAGAUACAACUCCCCUAUGUCCUGCUUGUGAAUGCUGCGCACCUGCACCACAAGGCUCUUGUUGUGAUUGUUGUCACCGAUUGAAACUCAGUCCCAGAAAGUGUCACCGUGAUACAGCAAAUUUGUAUAUAUAUAAACAGCUGACUUCAUGUCACAGUGAAGGAAAAAUAACCAUCAUUUGUAUAUAGAAAGUUGAACACGGGCUUCCUCUUGAAUAAUAGUUAUAACAGAUCAUGAUCAA